rnacentral:rRNA from 1 species
UACGAAGGGUGCAAACGUUGCUCGGAAUUAUUGGGCGUAAAGCGCACGUAGGCGGCAUUGCAAGUCGGAUGUGAAAUCUUAUGGCUUAACCAUAAAAGUGCAUCCGAAACUGCAGUGCUUGAGUACUUAAGAGGAUCGCGGAAUUCCCGGUGUAGAGGUGAAAUUCGUAGAUAUCGGGAGGAACACCAGUGGCGAAGGCGGCGAUCUGGGAAGAUACUGACGCUGAGGUGCGAAGGCCAGGGGAGCAAACGGG